rnacentral:snRNA from 1 species
AUACUUACCUGGCGUGGGGGCUACCGUGAUCAAGAAGGCGGUUUCCCCAGGGCGAGGCCCUUCCAUUGCACUCCGGUCUAGGGAUGCACCGGAUAUCCGGUUGGGCCGGAUAUCCGGCCGGAUAUUUCGGUAUCCGGCCCAACCGGAUAUCCGGC